rnacentral:rRNA from 1 species
AGAGUUUGAUCCUGGCUCAGAACGAACGCUGGCGGCAGGCUUAACACAUGCAAGUCGAGCGCCCCGCAAGGGGAGCGGCAGACGGGUGAGUAACGCGUGGGAAUCUACCCAACUCUACGGAAUAACUCAGGGAAACUUGUGCUAAUACCGUAUACGCCCUUCGGGGGAAAGAUUUAUCGGAGUUGGAUGAGCCCGCGUUGGAUUAGCUAGUUGGUGGGGUAAAGGCCUACCAAGGCGACGAUCCAUAGCUGGUCUGAGAGGAUGAUCAGCCACAUUGGGACUGAGACACGGCCCAAACUCCUACGGGAGGCAGCAGUGGGGAAUAUUGGACAAUGGGCGCAAGCCUGAUCCAGCCAUGCCGCGUGUGUGAUGAAGGCCUUAGGGUUGUAAAGCACUUUCACCGGAGAAGAUAAUGACGGUAUCCGGAGAAGAAGCCCCGGCUAACUUCGUGCCAGCCGCCGCGGUAAUAC